GUUUCUCAAUGUGUAAAAUGAGGAUAGUAAUUCACAUAAUUUAGAGUUAAAAUGAAGGCUAUCGUUUGACAUGAACCAAAUAAGCAGAUUACUAUCGGAUAUUUGGGAUAAAUAUGGGUAUUUUGUAAAGAGUUAAUCCAGAAAGGUUUUUCUUUCCUUAUUAUAAAGGGUACAUUUAAAUAAAAAAUGUUCUUCGUCUUCAACCGAGUUCAUUGAACAAAACUGGCAUGUUCUCUCUGAUCUUGGCAGUGUAAUAUUUUUUCCAUGUUCAUCAAUUUUUCGUUCGUAACGGCCUCUCUCUAUGCGGCCUCUUUCUAUGCGGAGACAAUGAUUGCUUAUUCUAAAUCUAGUUAGUAUAACUCUCUUAUCUCUGUUCUUAAUAUUAAAGUAAUCUUCAAAAGUGAAAUUAUGUUUAAAU
rnacentral:lncRNA from 1 species